rnacentral:rRNA from 1 species
GCAUAACGCGAAGAACCUUACCAAGGCUUGACAUGCAUCUCUAAGCGCGUGAAAGCGCGUGACUCUUCGGAGGAUUUGCACAGGUGCUGCAUGGCCGUCGUCAGCUCGUGUCGUGAGAUGUUGGGUUAAGUCCCGCAACGAGCGCAACCCCUGUGAUUAGUUGUCAGCACGUGAUGGUGGGGACUCUAAUCAGACUGCCCAGAUCAACUGGGAGGAAGGUGGGGACGACGUCAGGUCAGUAUGGCCCUUACGCCUUGGGCUGCACACGUACUACAAUGCCCAGCACAAUGAGAACCGAGACCGCGAGGUGGAGGAAAUCUACAAAACUGGGCCCAGUUCGGAUUGGAGGCUGCAACUCGCCUCCAUGAAGCCGGAAUCGCUAGUAAUGCUGCAUCAGCUACGGCAGCGUGAAUACGUUCCCGGGUCUUGUACACACCG